rnacentral:rRNA from 1 species
AUUGAACGCUGGCGGCAGGCCUAACACAUGCAAGUCGAGCGGAUGAAGGGAGCUUGCUCCUGGAUUCAGCGGCGGACGGGUGUGUAAUGCCUAGGAAUCUGCCUGGUAGUGGGGGAUAACGUCCGGAAACGGGCGCUAAUACCGCAUACGUCCUGAGGGAGAAAGUGGGGGAUCUUCGGACCUCACGCUAUCAGAUGAACCUAGGUCGGAUUAGCUAGUUGGUGGGUUAAAGUCCUACCAAGGCGGCGAUCCGUAACUGGACUGAGAGAAUGAUCAGUCACACGGGAACUGAGACACGGUCCAGACUCCUACGGGAGGCAGCGGUGGGGAAUAUUAGACAAUGGGCGAAAGCCUGAUCCAGCCAUGCCGCGUGUGUGAAGAAGGUCUUCGGAUUGUAAAGAACUUUAAGUUGGGAGGAAGGGCAGUAAGUUAAUACCUUGCUGUUGUGACGGUACCAACAGAAUAAGCACCGGCUAACUUCGUG